rnacentral:rRNA from 1 species
GCCAGCAGCCAUAUCACCCUUGGACUCGCAUCUGGCAGCCUACUGAAGCUUAGCAGGUGUGAGCCUGGUCAGUACCUGGAUGGGAGACCUCCUGGGAAAGCUAAGGUUGCUGCUGGAA